GGGUGUGGGUGUGGGUGUGGGUGAGGGUGUGGGUGUGGGUGCUAUACGCAUCUAACACCUACAACCACAUCCUCACCCACACCCACCCAC
rnacentral:pre_miRNA from 1 species